GACGAACGCUGGCGGCGUGCUUAACACAUGCAAGUCGAACGGAAAGGCCCUGCUUGCAGGGUACUCGAGUGGCGAACGGGUGAGUAACACGUGGGUGAUCUGCCCUGCACUUCGGGAUAAGCCUGGGGAACUGGGUCUAAUACCGGAUAGGAGCCAUUUUUAGUGUGAUGGUUGGAAAGUUUUUUCGGUGUAGGAUGAGCUCGCGGCCUAUCAGCUUGUUGGUGGGGUAAUGGCCUACCAAGGCAGCGACGGGUAGCCGGCCUGAGAGGGUGGACGGCCACAUUGGGACUGAGAUACGGCCCAGACUCCUACGGGAGGCAGCAGUGGGGAAUAUUGCACAAUGGGCGCAAGCCUGAUGCAGCGACGCCGCGUGGGGGAUGACGGCCUUCGGGUUGUAAACUCCUUUCGCUAGGGACGAAGCUUUUUGUGACGGUACCUAGAUAAGAAGCACCGGCUAACUACGUG
rnacentral:rRNA from 1 species